rnacentral:rRNA from 1 species
GUGGGGAAUAUUGGGCAAUGGGCGCAAGCCUGACCCAGCAACGCCGCGUGAAGGAAGAAGGCUUUCGGGUUGUAAACUUCUUUUACCAGGGACGAAACAAAUGACGGUACCUGGUGAAUAAGCCACGGCUAACUACGUGCCAGCAGCCGCGGUAAUACGUAGGUGGCGAGCGUUAUCCGGAUUUAUUGGGUGUAAAGGGCGUGUAGGCGGGACAGCAAGUCAGAUGUGAAAACCAGAGGCUCAACCUCUGGCCUGCAUUUGAAACUGUUGUUCUUGAGUGUCGGAGGGGUAAUCGGAAUUCCGUGUGUAGCGGUGAAAUGCGUAGAUAUACGGAGGAACACCAGUGGCGAAGGCGGAUUACUGGACGAUAACUGACGCUGAGGCGCGAAAGCGUGGGGAGCAAACAGGAUUAGAAACCCCGGUAGUCC